UACGGGGGGGGCAAGCGUUGUUCGGAAUUACUGGGCGUAAAGGGCUCGUAGGUGGCCAACUAAGUCAGACGUGAAAUCCCUCGGCUUAACCGGGGAACUGCGUCUGAUACUGGAUGGCUUGAGUUCGGGAGAGGGAUGCGGAAUUCCAGGUGUAGCGGUGAAAUGCGUAGAUAUCUGGAGGAACACCGGUGGCGAAGGCGGCAUCCUGGACCGGCACUGACACUGAGGAGCGAAAGCGUGGGGAGCAAACAGG
rnacentral:rRNA from 1 species